CGCAGGCUUGCGGGGAAACUUCCUUAUUAUUGUGACGCCGAAAACGGAGAAACCCCGGGUCCGGCGAGAGGGGCUGUGACAGUCGGAGUCCCAAGCUGCGGUUCGGCUGCUGCCGAGAACUGCAAGGUGUGGAAUAUUUCUGGCUUCUAGUCCAAUGCCAAGUGUGUGACCUGUGAGUUAAUUCUGCAUUUUAGUUUUGGCCCUACAUUUAUUUAAAGCCUGAAUUUGGGGAGUAUCUGCAAAGCACUGAAGGUUUUGGACAUUGUCUUUUCCUGCUGUUGAAAGAGACCCUCUUCAUAUAUACAACAUUCAGGCUACAUGAUUCCCUGAAAGAUAAGAACAAUGUUAUGUUGGGGAUAUUGGUCUCUGGGCCAACCUGGUAUCAGCACCAACCUGCAGGGAAUUGUGGCUGAGCCCCAGGUGUGUGGGUUCAUAUCUGACAGAAGUGUCAAGGAAGUGGCCUGUGGGGGAAACCACUCUGUGUUCCUGCUGGAAGAUGGGGAAGUUUACACAUGUGGUUUGAACACCAAGGGGCAACUGGGCCAUGAGCGGGAAGGAAACAAGCCAGAACAAAUUGGAGCUCUGGCAGAUCAGCAUAUCAUUCAUGUGGCAUGUGGCGAGUCCCACAGUCUGGCCCUCAGUGACCGAGGCCAGCUGUUUUCUUGGGGUGCAGGGAGUGAUGGUCAGCUAGGACUCAUGACUACUGAGGAUUCUGUGGCAGUGCCCAGGUUAAUACAAAAGCUGAACCAGCAAACAAUAUUACAAGUUUCCUGUGGCAACUGGCAUUGCUUGGCUCUUGCGGCUGAUGGCCAGUUCUUCACCUGGGGAAAGAACAGCCAUGGGCAGCUUGGCUUAGGGAAGGAGUUCCCCUCCCAAGCCAGCCCCCAGAGGGUGAGGUCCCUGGAGGGGAUCCCACUGGCUCAGGUGGCUGCCGGAGGGGCUCACAGCUUUGCCCUGUCUCUCUCAGGAGCUGUUUUUGGCUGGGGGAUGAAUAAUGCCGGGCAGCUAGGGCUCAGUGAUGAAAAAGAUCGAGAAUCUCCAUGCCAUGUAAAACUCUUACGCACGCAAAAAGUUGUCUAUAUUAGUUGUGGAGAAGAACACACAGCAGUUCUCACAAAGAGUGGAGGUGUGUUUACCUUUGGCGCUGGUUCCUGUGGGCAGCUUGGACACGACUCCAUGAAUGAUGAGGUUAAUCCUAGAAGAGUUCUAGAGCUGAUGGGUAGUGAAGUAACUCAGAUUGCUUGUGGCAGACAACAUACCCUAGCCUUCGUGCCUUCUUCUGGACUCAUCUAUGCAUUUGGUUGUGGAGCAAGAGGUCAAUUAGGAACUGGGCACACUUGUAAUGUUAAGUGCCCAUCUCCUGUCAAGGGUUACUGGGCUGCCCACAGUGGCCAGCUUUCAGCCCGAGCUGAUCGCUUUAAAUAUCAUAUCGUUAAGCAGAUCUUCUCUGGAGGAGACCAGACUUUUGUACUUUGCUCCAAAUACGAGAAUUAUUCUCCUGCUGUUGACUUCAGGACUAUGAACCAAGCACAUUAUACCAGUUUAAUAAAUGAUGAAACCAUAGCAGUUUGGAGACAAAAACUCUCAGAACACAACAAUGCAAAUACAAUCAAUGGUGUUGUUCAGAUAUUAUCUUCUGCAGCCUGUUGGAAUGGAAGUUUUCUUGAAAAAAAAAUUGAUGAACAUUUUAAAACGAGUCCCAAAAUCCCUGGGAUUGACCUGAACUCAACUAGGGUGUUAUUUGAGAAGUUAAUGAACUCUCAGCACUCCAUGAUUCUAGAACAGAUUUUGAACAGUUUUGAAAGUUGUCUGAUUCCCCAGUUGUCAAGCUCACCACCAGAUGUUGAAGCCAUGAGAAUCUAUUUAAUACUACCUGAGUUUCCCCUACUCCAGGAUUCCAAGUAUUAUAUAACAUUGACUAUUCCCUUGGCUAUGGCCAUUCUUCGGCUGGAUACAAACCCCAGCAAAGUACUAGAUAACUGGUGGUCUCAGGUAUGCCCGAAAUAUUUCAUGAAGCUGGUAAACCUCUAUAAAGGUGCAGUCCUUUAUCUACUGAGGGGAAGAAAGACAUUCUUAAUUCCCGUACUGUUUAACAAUUAUAUCACAGCAGCUCUCAAACUCUUGGAGAAGUUAUAUAAGGUAAAUCUUAAAGUGAAGCAUGUGGAAUAUGAUACAUUUUACAUUCCUGAGAUUUCCAAUCUCGUGGACAUUCAGGAAGACUACCUCAUGUGGUUCUUGCAUCAAGCAGGGAUGAAGGCUAGACCAUCAAUAAUACAGGAUACUGUAACACUUUGUUCCUACCCUUUCAUCUUUGAUGCCCAAGCCAAGACCAAAAUGUUACAGACAGAUGCUGAACUACAGAUGCAGGUGGCAGUCAAUGGAGCCAACCUGCAGAAUGUCUUCAUGCUUCUCACCCUGGAGCCUCUGCUGGCCAGAAGCCCCUUCCUGGUCCUUCACGUUCGCAGGAACAACCUUGUUGGAGAUGCCCUAAGAGAGCUGAGCAUUCAUUCUGAUAUUGAUUUGAAAAAGCCUCUCAAAGUAAUCUUUGAUGGUGAAGAAGCAGUGGAUGCCGGUGGUGUUACAAAGGAAUUUUUUCUUUUGCUCUUAAAAGAACUUUUGAAUCCCAUCUAUGGAAUGUUUACCUACUAUCAAGAUUCAAAUCUCUUGUGGUUUUCAGACACGUGUUUUGUAGAGCACAACUGGUUUCACUUGAUUGGUAUAACCUGUGGACUAGCUAUCUACAACUCCACUGUGGUUGAUCUCCACUUCCCAUUGGCUCUCUACAAGAAGUUACUCAAUGUAAAGCCUGGCUUGGAAGACUUAAAGGAGUUGUCACCCACUGAAGGAAGGAGUCUCCAAGAACUUUUAGAUUACCCCGGGGAGGAUGUGGAGGAGACUUUCUGCCUCAACUUCACGAUCUGCCGAGAAAGCUAUGGAGUGAUUGAACAGAAGAAGCUGAUACCUGGGGGAGAUAAUGUGACUGUGUGCAAGGAUAACAGACUAUCCAAGAAGCCUCAGCUUUGGGGAAAGUGAGCUAUAGUAUCAGAGUUGAGUGAAAUGAUGCAGAAGCCACCGAGACACCCAACAAAACUGGCUUCAGUUGAUGGAAUUAUCUUGGCUCUAGAAACCUAAUAUAGAGGCUAGUCUUGAUUCAAGCAGGAAUUUGUGGAUGCUUAUGUGAAUUAUGUCUUCCAAAUCUCAGUUCAUGAAUGGUACACAGCCUUCUCUAGUGGCUUCCUAAAGGUGUGUGGUGGCAAAGUACUUGAGCUCUUCCAGCCUUCAGAACUGAGGGCUAUGAUGGUGGGGAACAGCAACUACAACUGGGAAGAACUGGAAGAGACUGCCAUCUACAAGGGAGAUUACUCGGCCACACAUCCCACUGUAAAACUAUUUUGGGAAACAUUUCAUGAGUUUCCAUUGGAAAAGAAGAAGAAGUUUCUCUUGUUCCUGACAGGCAGCGAUCGGAUUCCCAUCUACGGCAUGGCCAGUCUGCAGAUUGUCAUCCAGUCCACAGCCAGCGGGGAGGAGUACUUGCCGGUGGCCCACACUUGCUACAACCUUCUUGACCUCCCCAAGUACAGCAGCAAAGAGAUUCUGAGUGCCCGGCUGACCCAGGCCCUUGACAACUAUGAGGGGUUUAGUUUGGCCUGAGGCUUCUCAGCUUGUCCAGUAUUUCCCUUCGUUCCUCAGUGUCCACAUUGAGGCCUAUACAGAAAAUCAUGGGGAGUGAUUUCUAUUUUUUUAUUGUCUAAGUGGGUUGGGACUUUUAAAUACUGAGCCUGGUUGAUGUGUUUCUGGGAUUGUAUAGCAGUAAACAACCUUUUUGAAAAAUUAGAGGUUGGGGAUGGGGUGAAAAAUUGGCCCUUGUAUGGGAGGUGUUUUUGUUUUUGUUUUAAACCAAACUACCCAGUAUUCCUUGCACUUGUGAAUGUGUUGCACUCUGCUGGAUGAAAUGGCAGUGGAUUUUUAAACUUUAAUUUCCCAAAUGUUUCUCUCAGCCCUGAUCUUUUCUCACAGUGCUUCCUUGUCCUUCUCCUAACUUCUCAUUCCUCUAUAAGAAUGAUUUAGACUGACCUGUCCUUUUUUAUCUGCGCAUGCGAGAACAUCACCUUCCUCUGUACACUUGGAAAUGCCUCUGGCUUGUUGCAGCCCUCCUUUAACCCAAAGGAGGAAAGGACUGCUUCAGAAACUCCCAAUUCCAAAAAGCUGAGUCUGGGUCCAUUAUUUUGGCAGAACUCCUAAGAAUUUAUGGGAGCCUAUAUAAACAUAUCUUGCUUUUAAAAAGUUCUUGAGGGAAUAGCAACUUUCCCAUGGCUGUGCCUAUUUCCUAGACCUUUUAAAAGAUGUGCAGAGCAGCUUAGCAUUCGUUGCAGCUGAGCCUAAUUUUUUCUUGCUCAUCCUUGUCCCUUUGACAAUAAGGUUAAUUGAUAGACCCACCACCUCUUGCACUCUCGCUUUUGGAGCAAGUUGCAUUAACUAUUUUGAGUCUCUAUAUUGUCCAAGAAAAGUAGAAAUAAUAAAUUUACUUUCCCUUUUUCUAUCACCUUAUGUCCUCUACCAUUUUCUCCUUCCUCCCUUCCCUUAUUUUCUCCUUUUCGUACCCUGCGUCCUCCCUGAUUUUCCUUUCGUUUCUUCUUUAUUUUAUCCCAUUCUCUGUUACUUGACUCAGUGCUCCCUUCCUCUCCUCUCCUUCUAGUGGAUGCAUGCAGCCUUUUUUUCAAUUUUUAUUUAAAUUGCAAAAUUUUUACUCAGAUUUUUUUUCCUCUUCCCUAAUUGCUAAGAUUUAAGGACGUUCUUUAUUAUGAAACUUUAUCACAUUCAAAAUGUUUGUUUACAGUGGGAUUUUAGGGGGGAUGGUGUUUAAAUCAAAUAUAUGUAUUUUAAAAAUAAUGACAUGCUCAACCUUCCUCAUCAUGGAGUAAGAAAAUUCUACAUGAUUAAAGAAUCCAUGUAAGUCUAAUUUUAAAUUCCUAGUAACUAGAGAAAAGACUUAUUUAUAUAAAAUGAAGUAUUUAUGAACUGUGAUAAAGCAUCAAAUCUUGAUGAAGGAUUGUAGAUUUUUGCUUUUUCUUUUUGUUUUUAAAACUUAUUCCAAUUGCUAAAUUGGUAGUUUUUCAGUCUUUAUAAAUACAGGAUUAAAAAUAUAUAUACAGUUAUAUGAAAUGUUUAUUUUCUAUGUGUGUGCAUAUAGUUCAAUAUUAUGCAAUAAAUUUGGUGUUUUAACUUAAAA